rnacentral:lncRNA from 1 species
UGUGUACCGUGUGUCAUUGUAUUUUGCUUGAUAAUGACUUAGUGUUGGGAUAUAUACAAUGUACCCUUAACUGAACUCUGAACUUACAAUACUAUACUGUAGUUACAGUAUUGUUUUUCAACAAUUAUACCGGUAUCUCCAAAUGUCUUCCACCCCACCUCACAACAUUAAUAAUGACUGCUCCCUAUUAAAGCCACUAAACUAUAUUGGCAGGAAAAUAUGAACAGAUGUUUGCCCAACAAAAAUAGGAUAAAAAUCAUAAAAUACACAAAUAUAAAUAAUGAAUAAGGUAUAUUUUUCAUCACUACCUGAAUCAAAAAUAAUUUUACCCAAUAUCCGAUUUUUUCCUCUUGUGUUUUUUAACUGAAGAAUCAUUCUUGUUAGCACCUGAUUCUGAGGUUGAGUUAUUUUGGAACUGCACAUCAUGUUUUUUACGCUUCUUUUUUUCUUUUUUACAAGAGUUUUUGUUAAUGUCCAGUACUGUUUCCUCAUGAUUUGUUUUUAGUGAUUUAUUUUUCUUGUUUGUACUGUCUUCAGCACUACCUUCAGAUUGGUCUAAAGACAACCUGUGAUCUUCAGUUGAUCUUGAAUUCCCACUCC